rnacentral:rRNA from 1 species
CGGCGAGUGAAGCGGCAACAGCUCAAAUUUGAAAUCUGGCUUCGGCCCGAGUUGUAAUUUGCAGAGGAAGCUUUGGGCGCGGCACCGACUGAGUCCCCUGGAACGGGGCGCCAUAGAGGGUGAGAGCCCCGUAUAGUCGGACGCUAAGCCUGUGUAAAGCUCCUUCGACGAGUCGAGUAGUUUGGGAAUGCUGCUCAAAAUGGGAGGUAAAUUUCUUCUAAAGCUAAAUACCGGCCAGAGACCGAUAGCGCACAAGUAGAGUGAUCGAAAGAUGAAAAGCACUUUGAAAAGAGGGUUAAAUAGCACGUGAAAUUGUUGAAAGGGAAGCGCUUGUGACCAGACUUGCGCCUGGCUGAUCAUCCGGUGUUCUCACCGGUGCACUCUGCCAGGCUCAGGCCAGCAUCGGUUCUCGCGGGGGGAUAAAGGCCCUGGGAACGUAGCUCCUCCGGGAGUGUUAUAGCCCAGGGUGCAAUGCCCUCGCGGGGACCGAGGUUCGCGCAUCUGCAAGGAUGCUGGCGUAAUGGUCAUCAGCGACCCGU